GCAGCUUGGCAUAGUGGUACUGCGUGUCACUCGUACACAACACUCACCUUCUGCAUAAGCGCUUCUGAGUGUUGUUAAUCGCGUAAUGACAAGAUCCACGGUUCGAUUCCGUGAGUGGGCA